CACGGAGUUAGCCGAUGCUUUUUCUUCAGGUACUCUCACAGCAGGUCCCGACCCGCCUCUUGCUCCCUGACAAAAGAGGUUUACAACCCGUAGGGCCGUCUUCCCUCACGCGACUUGGCUGGUUCAGCCUCCCGGCCAUUGACCAAUAUUCCCCACUGCUGCCUCCCGUAGGAGUCUGGUCCGUGUCUCAGUACCAGUGUGGGGGACCUUCCUCUCAGAACCCCUACGCAUCGUCGCCUCGGUGGGCCGUUACCCCGCCGACUAGCUAAUGCGCCGCAUGGCCAUCCGCAGCCGAUGAAUCUUUAACCGCCGAGGGAUGCCCCUCCGCGGUGUUACGCGGUAUUAGACGGAAUUUCUCCGCUUACUCCCCCUGCUGCGGGCAGGUUCCAUACGUGUUACUCACCCGUGCGCCGGUCGCCGGCAGGAGCAUGCUGCCUCCCCGCUCGCCCUCGACUUGCAUGUGUUAACGCCUGUCGCUAGCGUUCAUCCUGACGCCAGGUACUACAAACUCU
rnacentral:rRNA from 1 species